GUCAAUCAAGAGCUCAAUGCAAAAUAGACUACAGUGCAAAAUAGACUACAGUCCUGAAAUUUCUGCAAUUUCCUUACAGUAACAUGUCCCCAUACAUAGAGGUGUAACUUCUAAUCUAUACAAAAUUUUGAUAUGGGUUCAAAGCCAAUUUCGAAGUAGACACACAUAUUUUUCAAAUGGAGGUAGUUUUUGGAACUCAUUUGGCCAGUUAAAAGCUCAACACAAUAGGGAUAACAGUUUCUGGAAAUUACAACAAUUCAUGACAGUGACAUAUCACACCAACAAAAGCCUAACUCCCAAAUUGUGAGAAAUUUUGAGAUAGUUUCAAAACCAAAAUUCGAACAGAAACAUAUAUAUUUCCAAUAAAGUGGCUUGAAGGAAUUUGGACCUCAAUUGGUCAGUCAAAAACUCAAGACAACAGGAAUGAAAUUCUGAAAUCUGCUGAAAUCUAAUAAUAGUGAUAUGCUCUCAUAAAUUGAAACACAAUUUCCAAUUUAGGAGGAAUUUCAACUGAGCAUAAACACCAAAAUAAAAAUGGACACACAUAUCUUUAAAAUAGAGGUUGUUUAAGUUAUUUGGACACUGUUUGGUUAGUGAAUAGUUCAGUACACAACAUGCAAUAUUUCUGGAAAUUACUGCAAUUGAUAAUAGUGAUAUGUCUACACAAACAGAGGUAUAAUUCUUAAUCUAUAGGGAAUUUCGACAUAGCUUCAAAACCAAUUUUGAAGUAGACAUCCAUAUUUCAAAUAAAAAUAGUUUGAAGUUAUUUGGACACCGUUUGAUCAGUGAACAGUUCAUUUCAAAAAUAUGUAGUGUUCCUGGAAUUUCACAGCAAAGCUUUGGAAUACACUAUAGAAUGAUCAAAAACUCCCAAACCAGAAUGGAUAUUAACUUAAGACCUUUUUCAUCUUAAAUUAGAUGCAUAUGAGUAUUAUUCUACAAAUUUUCAUUACCAACAAAAGUAUUUUCAGUACUCAACUUAUCAUGUAAAUGAGAGCCUUAAUCCUGAAAAAACAGAGCCCAAACAAAUACAAGUUUACUAACAUGCAGCCACAUCCCCGCUAAUAUUGUGCUUAAAAUCAAAACUACGGAGACAUGAGUAUAAUAUCUAAAAUGAGGACCCAAGGUGCUUUACACAGGUUCACUUUCAAAUGCUAGGCUUCAAGGGAUGAGUUCCAGCUUUUUAAGCUCUUAAAGCUAGAAAGAGAGAGCGCGUUGGUGAGAGAAAGGAGAAGAGAA
rnacentral:lncRNA from 1 species